UGGCUCAGGAUGAACGCUGGCGGCGUGCCUAACACAUGCAAGUCGAACGGACGAGAAGAGCUUGCUCUUCGAGUUAGUGGCGGACGGGUGAGUAACGCGUGAGCAACUUGCCUUUCANAGGGGGGACAACAGUUGGAAACGGCUGCUAAUACCGCAUAACAUAUAUUUUUCGCAUGGGAGAUAUAUCAAAGGAGCAAUCCGCUGAAAGAUGGGCUCGCGUUGGAUUAGAUAGUUGGUGGGGUAACGGCCUACCAAGUCAACGAUCCAUAGCCGGACUGAGAGGUUGAACGGCCACAUUGGGACUGAGACACGGCCCAGACUCCUACGGGAGGCAGCAGUGGGGGAUAUUGCACAAUGGGCGAAAGCCUGAUGCAGCAACGCCGCGUGAGGGAAGAAGGUCUUCGGAUUGUAAACCUUUGUCCUUGAUGACGAAUAAAGUGACGGUAAUCAAGGAGGAAGUCACGGCUAACUACGUG
rnacentral:rRNA from 1 species